GUCCAGCUCUCCCAUAUGGGUGGCAGGGAUCCAGGCACAUGAGCCAGCCAUCCUCCACUUCCUUCCCGGGCACGUGAGCAUAGGGAACUGAAACAAGAGCAAAGUUGCCAGAACUCAACACAGUGUCCUCUUAUGGUUUACCGACAGUGCAGGUGGGGGCAGCUUAGCUCACGGCACUAAAACACUAGACCCUCUUUGGUUAUUUUGUCUUUAUGUACCAAAUGUCCCAAAACAAAACCAAGCCUGGGGGUGUGGGGAGGGGCAGCAUGAUGAUUCAACUGGCCAAUCCUCCCCCUGCGAGCACCAGAAUCCCAUUUGGAUGCUGGUUUGUAUCCCAGCUGUCCCCCCUUCCCAUCCAGCUCCCCAGUUGUGGCCUGGGAAAGCAGUGGAGGAUGGUCCAAAGCCUUGGGACUCUAUACCUACAUGGGAGACUCUGAGGAAGCUCCUGGCUCCUGGCUGGAAAUCAGCUCAGUUCUGGCUGUUGCAGCCAUUUGGGGAGUGAACCAGCAGAUGGAAGAUCUUUCUCUCCUUCUCUCUGUAAAUCUGCAUUUCCAAUUAAAAGAAAUAAACCUUUUUUUAAAAAAAAAAAAACGAGGUGCUGGAGUCAGCAUGUUGGGGAGCUCCUCCCCCAGCCUUGGGUCACUUGACAAUCCCAGACAGGAGCUGAGGGGAGGUCUUAGAGGAGGGCUAGCAAAUUACAGGGCUCCUGCUUGCCUUCCCUGUAGCCUACUCCCCCUGCUCUGCCCAUCUGCAUGUCGAAGACGCAGCGAAAUGUAGUGGCUAAGAACAUAAACUCCACGACCUGCAGCCUGAGAAGAGCCUCCAGCUCCCAGUGCUGUGUUCUUUGAGCCGGCUGUUUGAUCUUCCAUCCUCAGUUUCCUCACCGUAGAAGGGAUAGAUGCUAUCUCACUAGGUAAUUAGGAAGUGGGAAGUAUCUAGCAGGUGUAACAUUCUUGGUAUGAUCCUGUUCAGGAAGGGUUAGUUGCUACUCCUGCCUGGAUCUCUCCACCAGAGUUUUUCCAAAGACAAGGCUCUGCUACUGGAACCACCUACUCAGGGUAGUCCUGGACUGACGGUACGUAACGUGUCACAACCACAUGGACGCGCCGGGGUAAGACACACAUUCCCCGUCACUCCAAGAGAGAAACCAAGGAGCCAACGGGGUAUCAGUGGGGUCCAACUCUUACCAAAAAACCCUAAUGUCAGCUAUUCAUUUCCAGAUCUUCUGGCCCAAGAGUAACAAGAGGAAACCGUUUUUUGCGUUUAAUGGAUAAAGAGAAGAAAGAACCGCUAGGUGGCAGCACACGAGCACAUGAACCAGAGAACCAAUUGCCUCGGAUUUUAAGAACCUUUGCACCAAUCCCAACCCACAGCACCUGGCACCUCAGACAGGCGGCGAGGAUGGAAGCCGCAUCAGGUAAAUUAUACCUAACAAGGUUCAUGCCCAGAGCUGUGCGCGGAGUCAGAGCCUGGCUCUUUGGAAAACAGUCCUCCCUCCAGCGGCGGGCUGGA